rnacentral:misc_RNA from 1 species
CACCACUCAAGCCUAGCUUGGUAUUGGGUGCCGCGGCGAUCUCCAUCGCUGCGCGCCUUAAAGUCUCCGGCUGAGCAGUCUGUCUCCGAGCGUUGUGACACAUGUCGCUAGGGAGUGCAGGUCUGCCGCGGCCGUUAAAUCUUUAUCAAA